rnacentral:rRNA from 1 species
GACGAACGCUGGCGGCGUGCUUAACACAUGCAAGUCGAACGGAAAGGCCUCUUUCGGGGGGUACUCGAGUGGCGAACGGGUGAGUAACACGUGAGUAACCUGCCCUUGACUUUGGGAUAACUUCAGGAAACUGGGGCUAAUACCGGAUAGGAGCUCCUGCUGCAUGGUGGGGGUUGGAAAGUUUCGGCGGUUGGGGAUGGACUCGCGGCUUAUCAGCUUGUUGGUGGGGUAGUGGCUUACCAAGGCUUUGACGGGUAGCCGGCCUGAGAGGGUGACCGGCCACAUUGGGACUGAGAUACGGCCCAGACUCCUACGGGAGGCAGCAGUGGGGAAGAUUGCACAAUGGGUGGAAGCCGGAUGAAGCAACGCCGUGGGCGGGAUGACGGCCUUCGGGUUGUAAACCGCUUUCGCUCAUGACGAAGCUUUGUGUGACGGUAGUGGGUAAAGAAGCACCGGCUAACUACGUG